rnacentral:lncRNA from 1 species
CUCUUCUCUCCUGCUAAGCUUUGUUUCCUGGUAGCAAUUAAAACCUAAAACCGUCUGACUUCGGCUCAGGUCAUGAUCUCACGGUUUGUGAGUUUGAGCCCUGCAUCCGGCUCUGUGCUGACAGUCUGGAGUCUGCUUCAGAUUCUGUGUCCCCCCCCCCUCCCUCUACUCCUCUCCUGCUCAUUCUCUCUCUCUCUCUCUCUCUCUCUCUCAAAGAAUAAACAUUAAAAAUAUUUUUUUAGGGGCGCCUGGGUGGCUCAAUCGGUUAAGUGGCCGACUUUGGCUCAGGUCACGAUUUCGCGGUCCGUGAUUUCGAGCCCCGCGUCGGGCUCUGUGCUGACAGCUCAGAGCCUGGAGCCUGUUUCAGGUUCUGUGUCUCCCUCUCUCUGACCCUCCCCUGUUCAUGCUCUGUCUCUCCCUGUCUCAAAAAUAAAUAAACGUUAAAAAAAAAUUAAAAGGGGCGCCUGGGUGGCGCAGUCGGUUAAGCGUCCGACUUCAGCCAGGUCAUGAUCUCGCGGUCCGUGAGUUCGAGCCCCGCGUCAGGCUCUGGGCUGAUGGCUCAGAGCCUGGAGCCUGUUUCCGAUUCUGUGUCUCCCUCUCUCUCUGCCCCUCCCCCGUUCAUGCUCUGUCUCUCUCUGUCCCAAAAAAAAUAAAUAAACAUUGAAAAAAAAAAUUAAAAAAAAAAAAUUAAAAAAUAAAUAAAUAAAAUAAAAAUAUUUUUUUAAACCUCUGCCACUGCCAUAGCUGCUGCUGCUGCAACCACCAUAGCCACGCUGGGUUUGUGGUUUGGCAAAGUAUUGGCCUCCACCAGCACAGGGGCCAGAGCUUCGGCCCCCCCCAAAUUGCCUCCUUUCCUGGGUCUAAAGUUUGAAGAUUGGCCGUUGUCAUUGUCAAAAUCAUUACAGCUUCCGCCACCUCCAAAGUUGCUUCCAUCAUUACCAAAUCCGUGACAGCCAUCCCCACUGCCACUGUAUCCAUUGCCACCUCGACUGCCACCAAAGCCACCUUGCCCACUGCAGUUUCCUCCACGACCAAAGGUGUCAUUCCCGCCAAAACCACCUCUGUGACCACCACCGAAGUUUCCAGAACCACGUCGACCUCUUUGGCUGGAUGAAGCACUGGCCAUCUCUUGCUGAGAUACGGCUCUUCUGACUUCACAGUCGUGGCCGUUCACAGUCUGGUAUUUUUGAAUGACAAUCUUGUCUACAGAGUUACCGUCAUCAAACGUCACACAAGCAAAGCCUCUCUUUCUGCCACCGCUUCGGUCAGUCAUGAUUUCAAUCACUUCAGUUUUCCCCUACUGUUCAAAAUAAUCUCUCAGGUGAUGUUGUUCAACGUCUUCUUUAAUGCCACCGACCAAAAUCUUUUUCACGGUUAAGUGCGCACCAGGUCUCUAAGAAUCUUCUCUUGAGACAGCCCUCUUUGGUUCCACAACUCUCCCAUCCACCUUGUGUGGCCUUGCAUUCACGGUUGCGUCCACCUCCUCCACAGUGGCAUAGGUGACAAACCCAAAGCCUCUGGAGCACUUGGUGUUUGGAUCUCUCAUUACCACACAGUGAGUGUUCCCCACUGCUCAAAAUGGCUCUUCAGACUCUUAUCAGUUGUUUCGAAGCUCAAACCUCCAAUAAAAAAGCUUCUGCAGCCAUUCAGGCUCUUUAGUAGAUUCUGACUUAGACGUGACAGCUGUGGGAGGGGAGACUUUAAUGAUGCUUACUCAGCAGUGUCCACAGGCAGAAAG